AUUGAACGCUGGCGGCAGGCCUAACACAUGCAAGUCGAACGGUAGCACAGAGAGCUUGCUCUUGGGUGACGAGUGGCGGACGGGUGAGUAAUGUCUGGGAAACUGCCCGAUGGAGGGGGAUAACUACUGGAAACGGUAGCUAAUACCGCAUAACGUCGCAAGACCAAAGUGGGGGACCUUCGGGCCUCACACCAUCGGAUGUGCCCAGAUGGGAUUAGCUAGUUGGUGAGGUAAUGGCCUCACCAAGGCGACGAUCCCUAGCUGGUCUGAGAGGAUGACCAGCCACACUGGAACUGAGACACGGUCCAGACUCCUACGGGAGGCAGGCAGUUGGGGAAUAUUGGCACAAUGGCGCAAGCCUGAUGCAGCCAU
rnacentral:rRNA from 1 species